AGUUAUGUGACCAUAUAAAAGCACGAGGCCGCAGGCCGAGUGCUUUUAUACAGGUCACAUAACUCCAAGGUGACUACUAAUAUCUUUAUAAAUUACAUUAGGGGGUACAUUAUGCAUUAUAAUCUAGUUUUUAUGUACAGUGCCUUACAGUGGCUGUGUAUGUGCAGAGUUUUACUGGCAUUGCUUUAUGUGGUACAAAAUAACACUUUUGAGGCUGUUUUAUUUUGCCCUACCCCCCCCCCCUGAUUAAAUUUUUUCCAUGUAGUUACUUUUUUUGGGGAUAAGUACCUUUUGAAUUCAAUCUGCUAUUUUCAUUUUCCUUGUGCUGCAUUGAGUGACGUCGUCAGUUGCAGGUUAAAGACAGCUGAGGGGGGGGGGAGGGUGAAUAAAGGAAGGUGACACAAUUCAGGAACAGAGAGUGAUGGCUAAAUGCGGAACGAAACCGGAGUUUCACUGUGUAAGGACUGUGUGAGGGAGACUGGAAUGACAUCGUGGAGGGGGAGCUAAAGCAGCAGACACGGAGGAGUAGGAAGUUAAAGUUAAAACGGCAAACACCGUCCAGAUGUGGCCAUGGAGAAAGGAAGCUUCCCAUAUGAUGUUCUGUAUACAAACACCGAGGGGUUAUGAAAGGGUUACAGUCUAAUGGAUGAACAAGAAUAAUUAUGGACAGUCUGAAAUCUCACAAGUGCAUGCAGAGACAAUAAGCUUUUAUUCAAACCUUUACAAGGAGAAAUGAAAGUUUUGGACAGAGUGGAAGUAGCCUUAAUGAGCGCUAAAUCGUUACCAGGGGGGAUCUGUUUUAUAGACAGCAUAGUCUGUGAUCUGCUGUAAUCUGUUCAUUUCUUCCAACACCCUCUUUUGUCUCCAGUCUGCUAAACUCAAUGUUCCCUGCUUAAUAUACCAUUAAACUGAUGUAUAAAAUGAA